rnacentral:rRNA from 1 species
AGCUCCAUUAGCGUAUAUUAAAGUUGUUGCAGUUAAAAAGCUCGUAGUUGGAUUUCAGUACGGGCCAGUUGGUCGGCCGCAAGGCCUGUUACUGGCUGGUCUGUUCUUCUUGUCAAAGACUGCGUGUGCUCUUCGUUGAGUGUGCGUAGGAUUUGGGACGUUUACUUUGAAAAAAUUAGAGUGUUCAAAGCAGGCUUUCGCUUGAAUACAUUAGCAUGGAAUAACAUGAUAGGACUCCGAUCCCAUUGUGUUGGUCUUCGGGACUGGAGUAAUGAUUAAGAGGGACAGUUGGGGGCAUUCGUAUUUCAUUGUCAGAGGUGAAAUUCUUGGAUUUAUGAAAGACGAACUUCUGCGAAAGCAUUUGCCAAGGAUGUUUUCAUUAAUCAAGAACGAAAGUAGG